GGCCGCAGUAAACUGACUGUGCUAAGGUAGCAUAAUCAUUAGCCUUUUAAUUGAAGGCUGGUAUAAAAGAUUUGACAAAGAAUAAACUGUCUCAACUAUAAAUAAUUAUAAUUUUAUAAAAAGGUAAAAACGCCUUUAAAUAUUAAAAAGACGAUAAGACCCUAAAAUCUACUCUAUAGACCUAAUAAUUUUUAGAUUAUAAUAUAUAUAUUAGGUAACAGGUUUACUGGGGCGGUAACUAUUAUAUAAACUAUAGCAUAUUUAACAUAAUGAAUGAAUUUUACUAACCUUUAAGAAUAAAAUAAGAUACUUUAGGGAUAACAGCAUAAUAUAUUUUUAAAGUUCCUAUUGACAAAUAUGUUUAUGACCUCGAUGUUGAAUUGAUCUAUCUAUAUUUAGAAGAGUAAAUAAUAGUGAGUCUGUUCGACUCUUAAUAGAUCACAUGAUUUGAGUUCAAACCGGCGUCUGCU
rnacentral:rRNA from 1 species